AGAAAGGGCAACUAUACAAAAGGGUUGCCUGGAAACUACAUCACGGAAGAAACGAUAUGCAAGUCGGCAUUUCCACUUGUGCAGGAUACGUACCUCAUCAAGAAUCAAGGCAGGCUCGACUGCCAAGGACGUUGCUACAUGCCGCAGCACGUUUAUAGCGUAGGAUACAAGAUAGCGCUUUUCCCGGACAAGUAUCCGUGCCAGGGCAAAAUGGUCUGUAUAAACGGAGAAUGCGUGGAGAAAGCGCCGAAGUAUUCAAUAUAUCAUGCCUCAAAAUAAAGCCAAAAAUAACCGCUUCAUUGAUAUACGCCGCAGCAAAGAGCAUGUUAUCGAACAUUUUUAAUGUACCUAUGAAUAAGAAUGUAAUCAUAAAAAAAUGUUUUACAACAAGAACCAUACAGGAGGUAACGGUUGCUAUUAAUUGGAGGGACGU